GAUCUUGGCUGAUUGGCGAGAAUAACAAGAUUUCAAGCAAGCUGUUGAUGGUGUGUUGGUGACACGGCUGCUUGGCGAGAAAUACAAGACUUCAACCAAGUUGAUGGUGCGUUGGUGACUGGCUGAUUGGCGAGAUUAUCAAGGUAAGUGCCAAUUAUAGUCCUGCUUACUUUUGUUU